rnacentral:rRNA from 1 species
AGUGAACGCUGGCGGUAGGCCUAACACAUGCAAGUCGAACGGCAGCACAGUAAGAGCUUGCUCUUACGGGUGGCGAGUGGCGGACGGGUGAGGAAUACAUCGGAAUCUACUUUUUCGUGGGGGAUAACGUAGGGAAACUUACGCUAAUACCGCAUACGACCUACGGGUGAAAGCAGGGGGUCUUCGGACCUUGCGCGAUUGAAUGAGCCGAUGUCGGAUUAGCUAGUUGGCGGGGUAAAGGCCCACCAAGGCGACGAUCCGUAGCUGGUCAGAGAGGAUGAUCAGCCACACUGGAAGUGAGACACGGUCCAGACUCCUACGGGAGGCAGCAGUGGGGAAGAUUGGACAAUGGGCGCAAGCCUGAUCCAGCCAUACCGCGUGGGUGAAGAAGGCCUGCGGGUUGUAAAGCCCUUUUGUUGGGAAAGAAAAGCAGCAGGUUAAUACCCCGCUGUUCUGACGGUACCCAAAGAAUAAGCACCGGCUAACUUCGU